AUCUAGACUACUUACCACCUCAAUGCGAUACUAAUCACUACUUGGUGCUGGAAUCACUUGGACAGUUACGAAUUUAAGGGAUUCGGCUAGCUGCUUGUGAUUUCUCUUCUUAUAUGUUGGGCCCUAUUCAAACAGAUUCAAAACAACAAAAAUAUAUAAGAGCAGGAAGUAAAUAAAUAGCAGCUCUAAAGUUGGACUCAAAU
rnacentral:lncRNA from 1 species